GGAACAGGAAGAUGAUAACAUCUAGGCUGACUUCAGAAGGUUGUCCAGCAGUCUUGGAACUCACAGGACAAAAAUUCUACAGUUACGCCAAAGUUCACCAUACCAGGUCACCAAUCUAUGGACAGGGUCAGCAACAACCGCAGCCUAGCACACUCGUCUCCCGGUGCUAACAACAGGAUGCUGGAGGAAGGGCAGAACAACAUCAACGCCCUUAGCCAAGUCUCUGGAGGCACGUUGCACCGCAGCUCGGCCAGCAGCAACAUCAGCGCCAUCAACAGCCCUGAACAGCAGCAACCGCCCUCGCAGCACCACUCCAACAAGCUCCAGCGGACCCCAAGCCACCUGAAGAGCGGCCAAGCGGCCCAGAACGGACCCCAUCACCGAACUUGGGCUCACAGCCGGAGGCCGGGACACUAAUCGGAUUCGUCGAGCGUGUACAGUGCGUUUGCGUACCACAUCUACAACUCCAUCCACGGUGAUGCCUCCUCGGUCGAUCGCCUCUCCGACGUCCCGCCACCGCCCGUGCCUCCCCAAUCCGAGGCGUUCUACGGAGACUUGUCCGACAUGAGCCAGCACUCCUCAUCCAGCUACGGCUACGACCAGCGGCCCUUGCUCGUCACGAAAUUGCCGGGCAAGUACCAGGACACACCCCUGGCACACGUCAUGCAGGGCUUUGCAAGGGACUACGCCACGUCUUCGCCAGAAAUGCCACGCUAUGGUACGGAGCAGCAGAUGCACUAUGGCUCAGGCCGACGCAAGCACGACAUCGUUGGCUUCAAUGGGUCUCCUUACUCACCCUUACUCACGAGGCUGCCCUGGCGCAGAGGCUAGAAGACGCCCCGACAAACUUCUCCUCGGACUCGGGCAUGGUCGCCGACAGCGAGGAUUGCUGGGGCACAUCACCGACGCUGCCGGACUUGUUGCACGGCCCCGUGGAGAGCAACACUGUGGUGAUGGCGGUGUAGGACGGUGAAAAAGUGGCGAGCAGGAUUCGUCUGGAGGCCAUGAUGACGACACCAUCGGAUCCGAGAUUGCAACAGCAGCAGCAGCAGUCUCAGCACCAGCAGCGAUACAAUCUCAGCACGUACUGCUAACCGGAGUCGUGUGUGUGAUUCAAGACUGCCGGAAGCUGUUAAUUUAAGAGGUUAGAAGUUCUUGCCUAGGGCGGCUCUGGUAUCAUGGCUCGAACAAAUAGUGGUCAUUUACCGGCAGCAUAGAAGGUUGAGUGAAGUUGAAAGGUUUGUGGCCUUUCUAGCACUUGUUGUACACAAGUGUGCCAAAUAAAAAAAAAUGUUUGAAAUCUUG
rnacentral:lncRNA from 1 species